rnacentral:rRNA from 1 species
UACGAAGGGGGCUAGCGUUGCUCGGAAUCACUGGGCGUAAAGGGUGCGUAGGCGGGUCUUUUAAGUCAGGGGUGAAAUCCUGGAGCUCAACUCCAGAACUGCCUUUGAUACUGAAGAUCUUGAGUAUGGGGGAGGUGAGUGGAACUGCGAGUGUAGAGGUGAAAUUCGUAGAUAUUCGCAAGAACACCAGUGGCGAAGGCGGCUCACUGGCCCAUAACUGACGCUGAGGCACGAAAGCGUGGGGAGCAAACAGGG